AAAAUGUCCCAAAAUGUCCCAAAAUGUCCCAAAAAUGUCCCAAAAAUGUCCCAAAAUGUCCCUACCCGGGCGCUCCCCCGGCAGCUCCUUCUCCAGCUCCAGGGGUUUAGACAUCCUCAGUUCUGGGGGGGAAAAAUAAUCAAAUCAGCCCCAAAUCACCCCAAAAUCAGCCCAAAAUCACCCCAAAAUCAGCCCCAAAUCACCCCAAAAAUCAGCCCCAAAUCACCCCAAAAUCAGCCCAAAUCACCCCAAAAUCACCCCAAAAUUACCCCAAAAUCAGCCCCAAAUCACCUCAAAAUCAGCCCCAAAUCACCCCAAAAUCAGCCCCAAAUCACCCCAAAAUCAGCCCCAAAUCACCUCAAAAAUCAGCCCCAAAUCACCCCAAAAUCAGCCCCAAAAUCACCCCAAAAUCAGCCCCAAAUCACCUCCAAAAUCAGCCCAAAUCACCCCAAAAUCAGCCCAAAAUUACCCCAAAAUCAGCCCAAAAUCACCCCAAAAAUCAGCCCCAAAUCACCUCAAAAUAAGCCCCAAAUCACCCCAAAAUCAGCCCCAAAUCACCCUAAAAAUCAGCCCCAAAUUACCCCAAAAAUCAGCCCCAAAUCUCCCCAAAAUCAGCCCCAAAUCACCCCAAAAAUCAGCCCAAAAUCAGCCCAAAAUGACCCCAAAAUCAGCCCCAAAUCACCCCAAAAAUCAGCCCCAAAUCACCCCAAAAAUCACCCCAAAAUCAGCCCAAAAUCAGCCUGAAAUCGCUUCAUCCCCAAAACCCCCCAGGGCCGCCCCAAAAUCAGCGGAAAUCCCCUCAAAAUGACCCAAAACCGCCCCAAAAUUACCCCAAAUUGUCCAAAAUCUGCCCAAUGUGAGCCAAAAUUGUUCCAAAUCGCCAUGAAAUGACCCCAAAACCACCUCAAGAUGACCCAAAAUUGUUCAAAAUCACCCCAAAAUCACUCCAGAAUCUCCUGAUGCCCGACGUCCCCCAAGACCUCCCCAAAAACAGCGGAAAUCAC
rnacentral:lncRNA from 1 species